CCGAGUUUACAACUCCCAAACCCAUGUGAACAUACCUACUGUUGCUUCGGCGGGAUCGCCCCGGGCGCCCUGCGUGCCCCGGAUCAGGCGCCCGCCUAGGAACCUUAACUCUUGUUUUAUUUUGAAUCUUCUGAGUAGUUUUUACAAAUAAAUAA
rnacentral:misc_RNA from 1 species